UGGAACUGGAGCCGCUGAAACGGAAUUACGGCGGCGGAACCUCGUCCGAAUCAUUGUACCUAAAUCCACUCCUUAUGCUGCUACUGGCCUUAUGACAUUGAUUUCAUGGCUGAGUGAUAUUCCAUUGUACAGUGGGUCCCAACAAGGGUCCCCCUGCCCAGCGUCAUUGGAGCCAACAGAACGAGACUGAGUUUGGUUCAGAAGCAAAGGAAAACUUUAUAUUUUGAUCAGAGAAUGGAGAGGUGAGAGCAUGCGCUCCCCCGCGGGCUGUGGGCCGGGCUGCUGUGUAGGGACCCCGGCAGCGUCAGCGGGAGGGAGAGGGCGGAGCUCUCGAGGGGCGGGUUGGCUGGAGCUCAGGCUCUAUGUCUUGGAGUCUGCACGGGGCCCCGCGAGCUGAGGUGUCGGCCCAGCCAUUUUGCACUAGGAAAUCGGCUCUGCAGUGCCAGGUGUGAGGCCUCUGCCUGCGGAACUUUAGGAGCAAGUGAAAUUAGGCAAAGCACAAAGGAAAAAAAGGUUAGACUUUACUUUAUUGCCCAGAUUCUAUUUUUAUCUCCAGGAAUUUUUCAUGGGCUUUGCCGGUGACAAACCCCUCCUCUGCCUUUUGUCCCGUUCCUCAUUCUUGGGGCACUGAGGGUGCAGACCCCUCUUCUGUAAAUGCUUCGUGCUGAGCUGGGAGUCCUCAUACCUGGCGGGGAGGGGCAGAACUUCUCCUCAGCAGCCUCCAGGUGAGGUUGAUUGUCCCCAGGGCUCCUGCCUCACUGUUCGUCCGCCUGAGCACCAGCAUUGGAAGUGUUAUAAAUUCUAACGACCUUUAAGGGUCCAGGAAAGAGAUGCGCAGAGACGCUAGAGUGGCCGGUUUUACCCCGGCCCCACAUUUGUUCGGCCACCUUAGGCUGAUGGUUUCUGCCAGCCUAGAUGCUCUGACCAGUAGUCUGCACUUUCUUCAGUUAGGCCACUGAAUUAACUUAAAAACAGAACCAGGUGUCAGAGCCCUGCCUGGUCAACUCCCAGACAGUCCAAGGCCGGUGGUGAUCCAGGACCAUGACGGCCACUGAGUCAACGGACUUUUGAAGUAGCUAGGAGUCCAGCCAGUCUCAUUGGCCGCUGUCACCGUGGUGUCUGGUGGCUUUCCUAUGGUGACAGCGUGAUAUACGGUUCCCCCGCCAAGCUUAUUAGCUCCCCUCUGGGUGCAGUAAGUCCUGCAAGCAGUAGUCUGCUCUUUUGGGGCACACUCUUGUUGUUUUCCGGAAGAGAAGCUCCAGGUCAAGUGAUGCUCACACGAGUC